rfam:Cricetulus griseus cell line CHO-K1, whole genome shotgun sequence.
CCAAAGGCUCUUUUCAGAGCCACCCACAAUUUCAAGUAAAAUGGCU